ACCCGGAGCGAGGCCAUCGUGCAGCAAGGAGGCGAGGAGCGGCGGCGGCGCUGAGCCGGGCCCGGGUGUGGGGGCGCCUAUAUCCCCAGCCCAAGCUGCAGGAAGCCGCGCCGCUUCCUCGGAGGGGCUGGGACGGCGGCGGCCACGUGGGGGGCGGGGGCGACGCUCGGGGCCCGCGGCUGGAGGGGGAGUCGCUGCCUCACCCGCGCCUGGCGCCCGCGGCUCCCUCCGCCUCGCCGGCGUUGGCCCACCCUCUCGUAGCUCACCCCGCGAGGCUGGACAGCUCCCGGAACCCCGGAACCGGGAUCUAUUUCGGGGGCUCGGCUGCGUGGCGCCCAGGACUCUCCAGGGUCUCCCAGGAUCGCUCCCCGAAUUCGAGUCGCCCCCUCUCUCUUUCGGGAAUACCAGCUGAUGUCAGUCCGCCAGCCAAAACCAGGGAGGAGAAGCGGGAGCCAGCCCUCUGGAGUCGGGAGAAGGAAGAAGGUGCCACAGCUCUUCAGGACCACGGUUGGGAGAAAGAAUGGAGGGGUUUUAGAACCUUCAGUGUGCGACUUCAUGUGCCAGUCUUCAUCUCAGGAUCUCAAGCUCUUGGAUCAUGGGCACGGAUAACCUGUUGUCCUCCUCUAUGGUCAAGAGGCUGCUUUUGCAAAGAAUCCAGUGGGAGAGAGUCAAUGGCCUGCUUGACGUGAACUCCAAAGUCCUCCUGAUCAGAAUACCAAUUUCUUACUGGGUCUGGAAAGGAGGAGAGAAGGAUAGAGAGUUUCUUCUAGGACCAAAUUGAUUCCUCCACAAAUAGGAAGAUCCCCAGACUGUGUGCACACACCCUCCUCCUCCUUCCUUCUCCAACCCUGGCUGGACCAUGACAUCACAUGGUGGAGGCUGUUUUUUAAAAAGAACUCAGGCCAGAUUUACAAGAAUGAUGCUCAGGCAGCGUGACUGUCAAGGACCGUGGCCAAGUGACCCAUAGCACACACCCAGCAGUGCUGAGAACAUAGCUAGUCCCUUAGCACCUGGGGCUGACUCAUGGUUGCUGUAGGACCCAAUGCCAGAUGCCAGGAUUGCUUUCUCCCUCCAUUCAUUAGGACUGUCCCAUGAAACCCUCCCCAGGAACCCUUCUACCCCAUCCCGGCAUGCCAGGAGCCUGGAUACUGCAUAACACAGGGUACUCAUAUUUGUUUACCAAGCCUUGAAGAUGACAGGCAAUAUGCUGAUAUGCUCAAUGCAUCAUACAAAUUGUUUUAUUUAAAACUGAACUAUUAAAUUAAGUAUCAUAGCAACUCACUUUACAGACAAGGAAACUGAAGCUCAAAGGUUAAGUAAGGGCCAGGCAUGGUGGCUCACUCCUGUAAUCCCAGCAGUUUGGGAGGCUGAGGUGGGAGGAGGAUUGCUUAAGCCCGCGAGUUUGAGACCAGCCUAGGCAAUAUAGGGAGACCCCAUCUCUACAAAAAAUUAUCUGGGCCUGGUGAUGUGUGCCUGUAGUCCCAGCUACUUGAGAGGCUGAGGUGGGAGGAUUGCUUGAGCCCAGAAGUUGAGGCUGCAGUGAGCCAUGAUCAUGCCAUUGUACUCCAGCCUGGGCAGCAAAGCAAAACCCUGUAUUGAAAACAAACAAACAGGCUGGGCACGGUGGCUCACACCUGUAAUCCCAACACUUUGGGAGGCCGAGGCAGGUGGAUCACCUGAGGUCAGGAGUUAGAGACCAGCCUGGCCAACAUGGUGAAACCCGCCUCUACUGAAAAUACAAAAAUUAGCAGGGCAUUGUGGCACAUGCCAAGGUGGGCAGAUCACCUGAGGUCAGGAGUUCGAGACCAGCCUGGCCAACAUGGUGAAACCCCAUCUCUACUAAAAAUACAAAAAUUAGCUGGGCGUGGUGGUGGGCGCCUGUAGUCCCAGCUACUCAGGAGGCUGAGGCAGGAGAAUCGCUUGAACCUGGGAGGUGGAGGUUGCAGUAAGCCAAGAUAGUGCCACUGCACUCCAGCCUGGGCGACAGACAAAAAAAAAAAAAAAAA
rnacentral:lncRNA from 10 species